GCUGAAUAUUUAUAGGGGAUGCAGGCAACGAUGGAUUAGUGGCAUAUCGCGGGUGUGAGAGAGUGAAGAAGCCCUGCGUGAACAUAGCAGAGAGACAUCAUGGCCUCCCUGCUGACUGGACUCUGGAAGCUAGUUAUUUCUGUGGUUGUCCUGUCUCAGCUCUCAGCAACGCUUCCUGCUCUGGAGAGGGCUCAGAGACACGCCGACGGGGUAUUUAACAGUGAACUCAGCAAGAUGAAUGAAAAUGCCUAUGUGCAGAAGUUAGUCAAAUCUCUCGUGGGCCUCAAUCAAAGGUA